GAUACAUGUCACUGUUGGAGCCC
rnacentral:piRNA from 1 species